rnacentral:rRNA from 1 species
AUUGAACGCUGGCGGAAUGCUUUACACAUGCAAGUCGAACGGCAGCACGGGGCAACCUGGUGGCGAGUGGCGAACGGGUGAGUAAUACAUCGGAACGUGCCCAAUCGUGGGGGAUAACGUAGCGAAAGUUACGCUAAUACCGCAUACGAUCUACGGAUGAAAGCGGGGGAUCGCAAGACCUCGCGCGAGUGGAGCGGCCGAUGUCAGAUUAGGUAGUUGGUGGGGUAAAGGCUCACCAAGCCAACGAUCUGUAGCUGGUCUGAGAGGACGACCAGCCACACUGGAACUGAGACACGGUCCAGACUCCUACGGGAGGCAGCAGUGGGGAAUUUUGGACAAUGGGCGAAAGCCUGAUCCAGCCAUGCCGCGUGCAGGAAGAAGGCCUUCGGUUGUAACUAGCUUAGUCUAGAAAGGGUAGGCGAGGUAAGUACCUACGUGCUUGUAUGUACGUGAGAAGUAAGACACGCGUAACUACGUGCCAGCAGCCGCGGUAAACG